UUUUUUCGUUUUUUUUUGGGUAAGGUUUACGUCUAUUUCUACCAAAUUUGGGUCUCCAUACGUUGUCAUUUUUAAAUAGUGUUUUUUUUGUUUCCUUUUCGUUCAUAAUUUUAAUUUGGAAUAAUAAAUCAACGACAAAAUCCGAGUUGAUUAAACUACCUUUGUUCAAAUAUAUCAAUCUUCUAUAUAUUGUAGUUGACAAGAAUGUGCAAGUUUGACCAUUUGACUUGAAUAUAGGCGGUAAAUAUAGCCGCGAGGGGUUAAAGACAAUUGGCGAAAUGAAAGUCACUCAAAAACAAAGAGCGAUAACAAGGCAGUAUCGACAUAGAUUUAAAGAUAUUUUGUCCUGUUUUUUUCAGUUAUUUGAUUUAGUGGACUAUAAUAAACUACCGCGUUGUUGCACUAUUAAGCAUGUUCCUCUUGUUCGCAAGAAUGGGAUAGUGCAGAGGAUAAAGAAGAAGAGCAUUGCUAUGGAUGUAGCAGUGAUGAAGAAAUUUGACAUCUCCGUCAUAAUUAUUACAUGUUCAAGAUAAUUGGAUUAGUAUAUAUAUAUACUAGACAUCGGAGCCCGUGCUAGCACGACCCAAUAUAUAUCAUUUUUUAUUUCAAUUUAUGUGACAAGGACAAAAUUAAAGAGUUAGUCAAACUUUAAUAUUAAUUUAAAAUAGUUUAAAUUUUUAAUUAUUGUUAACUAUGGUAAAAAAAAAUUUAUGUCUUUUAACAUUCUAAAUUGUCAAUUAUUGUUGUAUUAUUUAUGUAAGGUAUUUAUUACAUUCUCUAAGCUAUCAACCCCAAUUUAACCUUUGAACUCAUUGAUGUUCAUUAAAACGUGUCAAAAUGUAUUUAUUAUGCAUUUAUUAAUGUCAUUCAAAAUGCAUUUAUUUAUUCUACCCAUAGCUUAUUGGAACUCAAUGAUUAUCAAUUAUUUGAAAAUGGAUGUUCAUUGCAUGUUGAUUGUGGAGUUGUUACAAACUAUACUUAUAUGUUUAUUUUAUAAUUUGAAAAUUAGAUUCAAACAACUCUUUUUAUGAUAUAUAUAAAUAACAUAAAAUCUAAAAUAUACUAAUAUAAUAAACUAAAACUUCACACAUAAUAUAUUGUUCGAACUAUAUUAUUGCAAGUAUUUUUUUGUCAUUAAAUUAGCUUAGAAGACAAAUCUUUCAUUAUAAAAACGGAUGAAGUAAUGAAAAGAGGAGACGAUGCGGCUCCUCUCAAGUAGUAGCUUUUGGAACGAAUGUCUAGACAAUUACACAAUCCGCUUCAUUAAAUGAUCUGAUUUUUGGAAUAACUUUCAAUACACUGUCAAUACAAUUUAUUUCCAUUCAUUGUUACACAGUGUAAUCUGCCCGCAAAAUAGUACAUCACUACACAAAACGAAAAGUCACAAUUUGUCACUACUUAAAAGGGUUUCAAACUCUUCAUUUCACUAUUAUUGCCAAACACCGAAAAGUUCAUUUUGAAUUUAAACUUUUUUGAUUCCGAAAAUUUGCCUUUAAUCAAAAAAAUGAAGAGAGCGAAAAUUUCACUGAUGUGUGUUACAUUUAAUUUUGUUUCCGUUUGUAUUCGACUCCUUAAUUCAUUUUAAUUUACAGAUGUGUGUUUAAUUUAAUUAUUUUUUUCAGUAGAACUAUUUAAAAAAUAUAUAAAUCCAGAUGCUGCCCUAAAACUAAUUCACAAAGCUUCAAAAGGAGGAUACGGCGCUGCAAAAUAUGCUUUUGGCAUAAUAUCUAUCUUCAUAGGCGGUGUAUAUGAAGAUCAAGGGGUAAAGACAAUUGGUAAAUAAGAUUGUAAUAGUUUAUAUUUAAAUCUUCUUGACAAAAAUUGAAGAUUUUUGAGUAUUCCAAGUUGAAUCCUUAUGAUGAAAAUAAACCUAAAGGAUAUAAUAUUAAAUGAGUUAUAUGUAAUGAUAAAAGUUAUAAAAUAAAAAAUGAUACAUUCAUGAUUAUAUGAAUUAAAAAAUGUAGGGAUUUUAUUACAUUAAGUUAUCUAGCCGAAUUAUUCCUAUGAAUUCAAUGAUUUUCAUUAAAUGUGGCAAAAUGUAUUUAUUUUGCAUUUAUUAAUGUGAUAAAAAAAUCUAUUUUUUUUAUUCUUCCCAUAGAUCAGACAUUGGAACUUAAUGAUCAUUAAGAGUUCCUUAUCAUUAAUUGAAAAUUGAUGUUCAUUCCAUGUGGAAUGUGAUUUUGUGAUAGCACAUCCUAUAAAAUAAUUUGUAGGGUUAAAAGAGAUACUUAUAUGUUUAUUUUGUAUUUUAGAUACAAACAACUUCACACAUAAUAUUUGUCAUUGAAUUAACUUAGAAGAUAAAUCUUUCAAUAAAAGAGUCGGUCAAUAAAAAUAUUCAAUAAUGGAAAUAGAAGAGAGUAGCUUUUUGAAACGAAUACCUAGACAACUACUUCUCACAAUCUCCUUCAUUAAAUGAUCUGAUUUAUGGAACAACUUCCGAAGCACUCUCAAUACCAUUCAUCUCAACUGAUAAGUCACAACUCUUCAAACUUGAAAUUCUUUGAAUCCGAAAAUCUAACUUGAGUGUUUGUCUUCCCUAAGUUAAUAGCUUGUACAUAAAGUUUCCACACACUUCCCAAAGACAGCUAGCUACUCCUUCUACGAGAGAGUUGAUAUUCAUUAAGAAGCGUAAAUAUAGUUCUUUUCGUAAUUAUAAACGAAUGCUAUUGCAGCGCAAAUGUUUAAAGCAAGAUUAAACGUUUAGUCAAUUAGUCAUGAGUUCGAGUCUAGGUUAGGUCCCCAUAUUUAUGUUAUUAUUUUUGCGUCGCUUCCCGUUCAUUUUAUUUUAAUUUUCGACUCAAAGUUUUUGAUUACAUUUAUUAUCUAUGAAAUUAAUAAUUAAAGGUCUGAAAUAACUUAUAUCAUAAUAAAUUUUGAUAAUGCAUUAAUUUAAUUAUAUUUUAAAUUAUUAUCUUCCAAUAAAAUUGAUCUUAAAAAAGAUGAGUGUAAGAAAUUCAACUUAUCAAAUCAAAUCUUGUCAAAAUUCUAGGUGUACUCAAGAACUUAUCUUAGACUUGAAAAAAUAAUAAAACUAUUCCGUCGAUUCACCUUUGUUAUAUUUACUACUACAAAUUUUUUAUAUAAGAAUAAGUUUAUUUUCAAUAAUAAUAAUAACUAAGGGUCUGAAAAUUUUUAUAUCAUAGAAUAUUUUGAUGAUUAAAUUAAUUAAUUAAAUUUUAUAUUCUUACCUUUCGAUAAAAAAUCUUAAUUAAUGGAUUUGCCUUACAAAGGAAGAGUGCAAGAAAAUUCAAAUUUUGUCAACUUCCUAGCCUCUAGGUGUACUCAAGUACUUCUUUUAGGUUUGAACAACUAAUUCAUCAUCACUAUGCAAAUAAUGUUCUGGCCCAUCGUAUGCAUCAUCGGAAUCUUCAUGAUGUUCAUCAUUUUGGGACAACAAACUAUCAUCCUCCUCUAACCCCAAAACAUUAUUCAAUAAAUCGUUUAAUUGGCUAUUCUGACUAGUCGAUUCCAUUUGUUAAAAUUAUAUAAAACCAACAACAAAAUAAAUUCUUGAUCAACAAAUUAAAAGAAGAAAGGAUGAGAGUGAAGAGUGAUAGAUGUAGGAGAGGUGGUGGAAUGUGAUAUAAAAAGUAAAGUAAGAGAGAGAGCAAAUAAUUAUUAAAAUGUUAAAGGUGAUUUUCAUUUUUGGAGGGAAAUAUAAGAGGUUUUGGAGCAAAAGAGGCAUUUUCGUCAUUUAUCCGUGUCUUGUCAAUUAAUGCAAAAAUUUUGACUGACCAUCGGCUCCACUUAUAUUGUGCCACGUGGAAGUGUUGGGUCCCAUUUCAGAAAAUGAUUUUCUCUCUCUUCUUAAACGUUUUUUUUCAUCUUUCCUACUUUUUUUUUACUUCUUUUUCAUUGACUUUUCUUUUCAAAUUAAUGUUUCAAAUUUCUCUAUUUCCAUACUUGUAUAAUUUUAUUCAUGGAAAAUAUAAAAAUAUGAAAUCCAAAAAGAAAAUAUUCAUUCAAUUUCUAACAUUUUAAAAUUAAUUAUUUAUAUUACUAAAAAUAGUUAGAUAAAAUUAUUUGUUAAUUUACAAAAUAUAAUUAAUUACAAUUUUUUUUUAUUAUAACAUUUUUUUUCUUUUUGUAAGUGUAAAUAAAAUUUAUAAAUUUUAAAUUACAUAAGUUUUUAUACUAAUUUCAUGAAAUUAAAAAAACGGACAGCAUCCAUAAAUACCUAUAUAAAUACAUAUUCUUUCCGUUAAUUUAUACGAUAUCUUAUUUUUGAAAUUCAAGCUAGGUGAAAUUUUUCAUCACUUUAACCUUUUUUAUUUUUCUUUCUAUUUAAUUUUUGUGGACUUCUCAAAAAUAUACGAUACUAUAAAAAUUUUAUAGGGUACAUCAUAUAGGAUCCUUCAAAAAAAACAAAUUACGCAUUAUCUAAGAAUUUAAUCAUUUUAAAGAAAUAUGAUAAAUUAUUUCCAAUGAUUUUAUUAUUUAACGACGAUAUAUUAAGAUGUCUUGUUAAUAUUUGAUUUAAAUAAAAAUAAUCAAUAAAAUUACGAGUCAUAUCAACAAGAAAAAGCACUAUCAACAAUAUCAAAAUAAAACUAUAAAUUAAACUACGAAGUAAAUUGAAUAAAAUUUUAUUAUUAUAAAGAGAAACACAUGAAUACUAACAAAGAGAACAAUUUUUUUUUCCAGUUUUGAAGAGGGUUAUACGUAAAAUCAUUACGGUCCAUUUAUUAAUAAAAUAAUAGAAUGUUAAAAUUUAUCCUAAAAAAUCAAUGUCUAUUAUUACUUAAAUAAUUUUUAAUUUUAUAUUACUUUGGUAAAUAUGAUUGUAAAAGUUUAUAUUUGAAUUGCUUCACAAAAAUUGAAGAUUUUUCACUAUUAUAAGUCGAAUCAUUAUGAUGAAAUAAAUGUAAUAGAUAUAGUAUUAUAUGAGUUAUGCUCUCUCAUAAAUACAAGUCAGUUGAAUGCGAUUAUAUAAGCAUAAUCAAUUUUCCCUUCACGAGUAGUGCUAAAUGGCAAGACACUUUUUUGGCAUGAAUUGGCAGGACACGACGAAAUGACCAAAUAGCCCUUACGUGUGUUCAAAAAUGAUUAUUUGAUACGAGUAAAUUUGUCACUAGAUAAUUGGUCUCUAACAAUUGUUAGUCGAAAAAUAAAAGAAAAAUAAAUAAAAUUUGUGAAUGGACGAGAAAUAAAUGACUAAUUUUUAUAAGGUAAGAAAAUAUAGUUCAAUUAAUUAAUUUAAUCAUUAAUAUUUUCAAUGUUACGUAAUAAUUAUUUGAGGCAUUUAAAAUACAAAUUUCAUGAAAAAUAAAUUUUAUUCUUAUAUCAAAAUGUAAAUAACGUGAAAUGAUAGAAUGAAUUAGUUGUUCAAACCUAAAAGAAGUACUUGAGUACACCUAGAGGCUAAGAAGUUGACAAAAGUUGAAUUUUUUUGCACUCUUCCUUUGUAAGGCAAAUCCAUUAAUUAAGAUUUUUUAUCGGAAGGUAAGAAUAUAAAAUUUAAUCAAAAACUUUGAGUUGAAAAUUAAAAUAAAAUGAACGGAAGCGACGCAAAAAUAAUAACAUAAAUAUGGGGACCUAACCUAGACUCGAACUCAUGACUAAUUGACUCAACGUUUAAUCUUGCUUUAAACAUUUGCGCUGCAAUAGCAUUCGUUUAUAAUUACGAAAAGAACUAUAUAAAAUGUUACGUGUGUUCAAAAAUGAUUAUUUGAUACGAGUAAAUUUGUCACUAGAUAAUUGGUCUCUAACAAUUGUUAGUCGAAAAAUAAAAAUAAAAAUAAAAAAAUCUGUGAAUGGACGAGAAAUAAAUGACUAAUUUUUAUAAGGUAAGAAAAUAUAGUUCGAUUAAUUAAUUUAAUCAUUAAUAUUUUCAAUGUUACGUAAUAAUUAUUUGAGGCGUUUAAAAUACAAAUUUCAUGAAAAAUAAAUUUUAUUCUUAUAUCAAAAGGUAAAUAACGUGAAAUGACGGAAUGAAUUAGUUGUUAAAACCUAAAAGAAGUACUUGAGUACACCUAGAGGCUAGGAAGUUGACAAAAUUUGAAUUGAUUAGUUGAAUUUUCUUGCACUCUUCCUUGUAAGGCAAAUCCAUUAAUUAAGAUCUUUUUUCGGAAGGUAAGAAUAUAAAAUUUAAUUAAUUAAUUAAUUUAAUCAUCAAAAUAUUCUAUGAUAUAAAAAUUUUCAGACCCUUAGUUAUUAUUAUUAUUGAAAAUAAACUUAUUCUUAUAUAAAAAAUUUGUAGUAGUAAAUAUAACAAAGGCGAAUCGACGGAAUAAUUUUAUUAUUUUUUCAAGUCUAAGAUAAGUUCUUGAGUACACCUAGAAUUUUGACAAGAUUUGAUUUGAUAAGUUGAAUUUCUUACACUCAUCUUUUUUAAGAUCAAUUUUAUUGGAAGAUAAUAAUUUAAAAUAUAAUUAAAUUAAUGCAUUAUCAAAAUUUAUUAUGAUAUAAGUUAUUUCAGACCUUUAAUUAUUAAUUUCAUAGAUAAUAAAUGUAAUCAAAAACUUUGAGUCGAAAAUUAAAAUAAAAUGAACGGGAAGCGACGCAAAAAUAAUAACAUAAAUAUGGGGACCUAACCUAGACUCGAACUCAUGACUAAUUGACUAAACGUUUAAUCUUGCUUUAAACAUUUGCGCUGCAACAACAUUCGUUUAUAAUUACGAAAAGAACUAUAUUUACGCUUCUUAAUGAAUAUCAACUCUCUCAUAGAAGGAGUAGCCAACUGUCUUUGGGAAGUGUGUGGAAACUUUAUGUACAAGCUAUUAACUUAGGGAAGACAAACACUCAAGUUAGAUUUUCGGAUUCAAAGAAUUUCAAGUUUGAAGAGUAUCGACAUAGAUUUAAAGAUAUUUUGUCCUAUUUUUUCAGUUAUUUGAUUUAGUGGACUAUAAUAAACUACCGCGUUGUUGCACUAUUAAGCAUGUUCCUCUUGUUCGCAAGAAUGGGCUUGUUAUCGCUCUUUGUUUUUGAGUGACUUUCAUUUCGCCAAUUGUCUUUAACCCCUCGCGGCUAUAUUUACCGCCUAUAUUCAAGUCAAAUGGUCAAACUUGCACAUUCUUGUCAACUACAAUAUAUAGAAGAUUGAUAUAUUUGAACAAAGGUAGUUUAAUCAACUCGGAUUUGUCGUUGAUUUAUUAUUCCAAAUUAAAAUUAUGAACGAAAAGGAAACAAAAAAACACUAUUUAAAAUGACAACGUAUGGAGACCCAAAUUUGGUAGAAAUAGACGUAAACCUUACCCAAAAAAAAAUGAAAAAACUCAAUAAAGAAUGAAAUUAAAG
rnacentral:lncRNA from 1 species